rnacentral:rRNA from 1 species
UACGGGGGGGGGCAAGCGUUUGUUCGGAAUUACUGGGCGUAAAGGGCUCGUAGGCGGCCAACUAAGUCAGACGUGAAAUCCCUCGGCUUAACCGGGGGAACUGCAUCUGAUACUGGAUGGCUUGAGUUCGGGAGAGGGAUGCGGAAUUCCAGGUGUAGCGGUGAAAUGCGUAGAUAUCUGGAGGAACACCGGUGGCGAAGGCGGCAUCCUGGACCGACACUGACGCUGAGGAGCGAAAGCCAGGGGAGCAA